ensembl:lincRNA
GAUUAAUUCUUUACUCCAGAGCCCUGCAAAUGAGGGGUUGGUUAAAUGAUUAAAUCCAGCACAACAACGUGAUGGGAGAGCAUGCAGCUCAUUAAAAUUAUGUUUUGAAACUUAUGACAUGGGGAAAUUUGCAGAGCAUAGUCUUAUGUAGGUCUUCUAAAUUGGGGGUAUGCGUGCAUGUGUCUGUGUGAUGUCUUUUAGCUCAACUGUGAUAUAUUUAUAUUCUUCUGCAUUAAUGAUUUUUUUUUCAGUCACCUUCAGUUUCCAAGAAACGUAUUUUUUAUUCUCCCAUUCAAGUUUUGCAUUUCCUUACAGGGAAACAGAGAUGUGUCCUUCCUUCCUGUUAUCUUUAUCCCCAGACCCGGCCUCAUGUCAAUGUUUAAAGUCAAAGGAUGGAAAUUUACCUUGGAAAGUCACUCGAACGGAGAAGAGAGUUUCUUGGUCGCCCCUGUGCCCAGGAUCUGGGGAAAAGGGCAGAGAAUGAACAUGGAAUACUUCCGAGGCUUGGGUGACCCACAUUUUGACUCCUCCCCUGGGGCAAGAAGAACCACAUUACCUUCCCAUUCAGGAUAUUCAGCCUAGAAGCCUGGGUGCCUUUGAGUGUGCCCUCACGCUCCUCAGAGGACAUUCAGCCUUCUCGAUAUUCUCGUCUGUCCACGGACUGUGGAAGGUAAGGUUGGGGAAGCAAAGAUUGGAUCCUGUGCUCUCUGGCGUGGGUACACAUCCCGUGAAGGAUGUAGGUAGACCCAGCAGAAGACCACCAACUACGAAUUCUGUGGUCAGUGUUUCAGUGGUUAAAAUGAUGAUAUUUCUGACUAUCAUAACUAUCAUAAGGCAUUUUGGUAAUCUCUUACCAGCGUUUUAGCGAUUCUCGGAUCUUGAGUAGUUUGGGAGCAGAAAGAAAAACGGUAUUGGAGCAAGAGUUUCUGAGUUUAAAACUCUCUGUUGUUACUUUUUAGGUAAACUCUGUCUCUGUUCCCUCAUCUAUAGAACUGAGAGGAUAAUUAUAAGGAGGAGUAAGUGGCACUCUCUGUGUAAAGUCAUGUAAAUGGGACUCAGAAGAUUUAUAAUAGAACGCUUACUGAGUCUAUGUGGUGCUGAUCUUUAGUAAGUCGACUUGAGUGGACUCUUUCUGGACAAGGUAGAGAUGAUCACCAUGAACAUUCAGUCAUUGGUAGCACAAGGAAAAUAUACCUGUACCUAGGCACAUGUCCAACCAGGAGGCACAGCUAGGUCUUAGAAUGGUGUGUGUGUGUGUGUGUGUGUGUGUGUGUGUGUCUGAUGCCUUAUUCUGGUCUCCCUGUUACUAAUCCUCCUCCUCCUCCUGGAAAUGUCAUAAGAUAACUGAGCCACGUAUACCGUACAUUAGUUCAUCCAGAAGCAUUUGCAAAGAAAAUGUUGGGAUGCCGUAAUGAAGUCUGACCUCUUGGCGGUCGAAGUUGCUGUCUCCUGCCAAGGUGCGGAGGAUGUCAGGUCUUGAUCAAAGCUGCUCAUUGCAGGGGCUCCUGGGUGGCUCAGUGGGUUAAAGCCUCUGCCUUCGGCUCAGGUCAUGAUCUCAGGGUCCUGGGAUUGAGCCAGGCAUCAGGCUAUCUGCUCUCUCCUCCUCUCUCUCUCUCUGCCUGCCUCUCUGUCUACUUGUGAUCUCUGUCUAUCAAAUUAAAAAAAAAAAAAAGAAAAGCUGCUCAUUGCCUACAUCUAUGUUCACUAUGUAUUUUUGCUUGUGAACUGGUUUACCAGCUGCCCUGGAGGGGGAGUCCCAGAGUUAAUACCUGGAAUGGGGACUUGAUUGCCCUGCUGGGCCUGGCAUGGAGAUGGGAGGAGGUAGGGUGUGUGUUUCUGUGUGUGUGUGAGGCGGUGGGGAGUUAACACUUCUGUUGGAGUUAGCUUCAAGGUCAGCAUCCCAAUCUUCUGAAUAUCUGCUAUGAUGACAAAAUCAGCAGCUUUGAGAGGGGCGGGAAGGUUUUGAGAAAACGAAAUUCAUCCAGACCACUUUUAUGGAUAUAAGUAGCCAUGUAAAACAAGGCAGUCUUUAUUUUGAAAAUCAGGUAUAGCUCUAAAGUUCUAAACCUACAAGAUCUAUUCCCUCUGUAUUUCUUAUUUAUUUCAAUCUCAUAGAAAAUUUCUAAACUUCCUUUAUGUGAAUUUUUGAAAUAAACAUCAAAUGUAAGCUUACAAGGGAGAAGACAUACAGGGGCCCCCCUUUGUGGGCAAGGAGAUAGUUUUUAAAAAAUACAUCCCAAAUUUUUAACAAUGAUUAUUUCUCGGAAGGAUGGGGUAUUGGGGGGGGUGCAAAAGUAUAAUAAGGAAAGGAUUUUUUACUUUCUAUCUUAUAUACUUUUUAUAUUUAUAAUAAAAUAAAAGCUAAAAGUAAGAAGAGCUAACAUAUACGGAACGCAUACUAUGUCCCAGGAAUUGUGCUACACGCACUAUUUUAUUUAAUUCUUUUAAUUCCCUGUGAGCAGGUACCAUCACCGCCUCAAUUUUACCAUCGAGGAAAAUGAGGUCUUGCAGGAGCUGAAUCGUUUGCCAGGCACACGUGGCUGAGUAGAAGAUAGUGAGUGCAAAUGUGGAGUUCAGAGUCUGUCCUUCUGGCCGCCAUAGUCAAUGUCCUCAACUGAGCAAAUAAAUACAAGUUAAAAUUCCUUUCUGAAGAACAAAGAGUCAGUCUUGCUACCUCAUUGUCACACCUCCAGUCCUUCUCAUGCUUAUACUUGGAAUGUAAAGUUUGGUUUAUUUCAACACUCACUCAAAUGUGUAUUACGAGGGGGGGGGCGCCUGGGUGGUUCAGUGGGUUAAGCCUCU